AACGAACGCUGGCGGCAUGCCUAACACAUGCAAGUCGAACGAGACCUUCGGGUCUAGUGGCGCACGGGUGCGUAACGCGUGGGAACCUGCCCUUAGGUUCGGAAUAACUCCCCGAAAGGGGUGCUAAUACCGGAUAAUGUCUUCGGACCAAAGAUUUAUCGCCUUUGGAUGGGCCCGCGUUGGAUUAGCUAGUUGGUAGGGUAAAAGCCUACCAAGGCGACGAUCCAUAGCAGGUCUGAGAGGAUGAUCAGCCACACUGGGACUGAGACACGGCCCAGACUCCUACGGGAGGCAGCAGUGGGGAAUAUUGGACAAUGGGCGAAAGCCUGAUCCAGCAAUGCCGCGUGAGUGAUGAAGGCCUUAGGGUUGUAAAGCUCUUUUACCCGGGAUGAUAAUGACAGUACCGGGAGAAUAAGCUCCGGCUAACUCCGUG
rnacentral:rRNA from 1 species